rnacentral:rRNA from 1 species
CUACGGGAGGCUGCAGUCGAGAAUCUUCCGCAAUGGACGAAAGUCUGACGGAGCGACGCCGCGUGCGGGAUGAAGGCCUUCGGGUUGUAAACCGCUGUCAGUGGGGAGGAAAUGCAUCAGGGUUCUCCCUGGUGUUUGACCGAUCCGCAGAGGAAGCGCAGGCUAAGUUCGUGCCAGCAGCCGCGGUACACGAACUGCGCGAACGUUAUUCGGAAUCACUGGGCUUAAAGAGUUCGUAGGCGGCCUUUCAAGUCGGGUGUGAAAUCCCUCGGCUCAACCGAGGAAUUGCGCCUGAUACUGUUGGGCUUGAGGGGGAUAGGGGUGAGCGGAACUGAUGGUGGAGCGGUGACAUGCGUUGAUAUCAUCAGGAACACCGGUGGCGAAGGCGGCUCACUGGAUCUCUUCUGACGCUGAGGAACGAAAGCUAGGGGAGCGAACGGGAUUAGAUACCCCUGUAGUC